rnacentral:rRNA from 1 species
UUGAACGCUGGCGGCAUGCCUUACACAUGCAAGUCGAACGGCAGCACGGGGGCAACCCUGGUGGCGAGUGGCGAACGGGUGAGUAAUACAUCGGAACGUGCCCUGAAGUGGGGGAUAACGUAGCGAAAGUUACGCUAAUACCGCAUAUUCUGUGAGCAGGAAAGCGGGGGAUCUUCGGACCUCGCGCGAUUGGAGCGGCCGAUGUCGGAUUAGCUAGUAGGUGAGGUAAAGGCUCACCUAGGCGACGAUCCGUAGCGGGUCUGAGAGGAUGAUCCGCCACACUGGGACUGCGACACGGCCCAGACUCCUACGGGAGGCAGCAGUGGGGAAUUUUGGACAAUGGGCGCAAGCCUGAUCCAGCCAUGCCGCGUGAGUGAAGAAGGCCUUCGGGUUGUAAAGCUCUUUCGGCCGGGAAGAAAUCGUGGUCUCUAACAUAGGCCAUGGAUGACGGUACCGGACUAAGAAGCACCGGCUAACUACGU